rnacentral:rRNA from 1 species
CGAGCGCAGGAAGCAAGCUGAUCCCCUUCGGGGGUGACGCUUGUGGAAUGAGCGGCGGACGGGUGAGUAACACGUGGGCAACCUGCCUGUAAGACUGGGAUAACCCCGGGAAACCGGGGCUAAUACCGGAUAAUACUUUCUUUUGCAUAAAGGAAAGUUGAAAGGCGGCUUCGGCUGUCACUUACAGAUGGGCCCGCGGCGCAUUAGCUAGUUGGUGAGGUAACGGCUCACCAAGGCGACGAUGCGUAGCCGACCUGAGAGGGUGAUCGGCCACACUGGGACUGAGACACGGCCCAGACUCCUACGGGAGGCAGCAGUAGGGAAUCUUCCGCAAUGGACGAAAGUCUGACGGAGCAACGCCGCGUGAGUGAUGAAGGUUUUCGGAUCGUAAAACUCUGUUGUUAGGGAAGAACAAGUUGGGUAGUAACUGACCCAACCUUGACGGUACCUAACCAGAAAGCCACGGCUAACUACGUGCCAGCAGCCGCGGUAAUACGUAGGUGGCAAGCGUUGUCCGGAAUUAUUGGGCGUAAAGCGCUCGCAGGCGGUCCUUUAAGUCUGAUGUGAAAUCUCGCGGCUCAACCGCGAACGGUCAUUGGAAACUGGAGGACUUGAGUACAGAAGAGGAGAGUGGAAUUCCACGUGUAGCGGUGAAAUGCGUAGAGAUGUGGAGGAACACCAGUGGCGAAGGCGACUCUCUGGUCUGUAACUGACGCUGAGGAGCGAAAGCGUGGGGAGCGAACAGGAUUAGAUACCCUGGUAGUCCACGCCGUAAACGAUGAGUGCUAGGUGUUAGGGGU